AUUUUAAAAUUGAAGCUGGGCUGGGUCAUCCUAAAGCACAAAACUUCAAUGUAAUUGGUGCUGCAAUUUUUUAACUAGUCGAGGAUUAGUUGUUAGGAAAAGCAGGAAACAGGUGGAUAUGUGGAAAACUCAACAACGAACGAGGUGUUGGCCAGCAGCCGCUCUACAUUGAGUCAGCAGCAUGUUAAUUCUGCCGAGUGGGUGGCCCCGCUUAUGUUGGACCAGCCUACCAACAAGUCAUUUUCUUGUAAAGAUAGUUAAGACCCAUAAGUGGAAUGCCAUUCUCAUUAAGCGUAGCGAUUUUUAAAUUGCCAUGCUUCUUUUGAGAAGGAAGUUUCAUCUGAAUCGUAAUGGUAUACACAAGGUUGGUUAUCCUUCAGAAAAAAGGUUCAUACGAUAGAAAA